AUUGAACGCUGGCGGCAGGCUUAACACAUGCAAGUCGAGCGGGGUGAUGGUGCUUGCACUAUCACUUAGCGGCGGACGGGUGAGUAAUGCUUAGGGAUCUGCCUAUUAGUGGGGGACAACAUCUCGAAAGGGAUGCUAAUACCGCAUACGUCCUACGGGAGAAAGCAGGGGAUCACUUGUGACCUUGCGCUAAUAGAUGAGCCUAAGUCGGAUUAGCUAGUUGGUGGGGUAAAGGCCUACCAAGGCGACGAUCUGUAGCGGGUCUGAGAGGAUGAUCCGCCACACUGGGACUGAGACACAGCCCAGACUCCUACGGGAGGCAGCAGUGGGGAAUAUUGGACAAUGGGGGGAACCCUGAUCCAGCCAUGCCGCGUGUGUGAAGAAGGCCUUAUGGUUGUAAAGCACUUUAAGCGAGGAGGAGGCUCUUUUGGUUAAUACCCAAGAUGAGUGGACGUUACUCGCAGAAUAAGCACCGGCUAACUCUGUGCCAGCAGCCGCAGUAA
rnacentral:rRNA from 1 species